rnacentral:lncRNA from 7 species
AGAAGCAAAAGCGAAAGUGCUCACUUUCCCUCUGAGCAGCUUGGAUGUGCCACCACCAUCCCCUGGCAUCUUAAGGGGAAAGGGGGAUGAGCUCUCACAGAGGGUCAGUGGAAUGGAUGGAGAAUGGCUGGAUAGACAGAGGAUAGAUGGUGGAGAUGAUGGAUAGAUGCAUAGAUGGAGAAGCCCGGCAUGGCUUGACACCAACAAAGCUCAGAUGAACCUACGCUGGAUGUUAUCUACGCCCCAAAAAGUCCUUAGGAAAAGAUUUCACAGUCCUGGUGAUUUCCAACCUUGAGAGAGAUGUCACCUUUGCAGUUCAUAAUGCUCCUGGAUCCUCCUUCUGCUCAUCCAAACAACCUCUGGACGGCCUCACCACGUGGAGACUUCCAAAGCCAGCCCAGGAGGAAAACCCAUGUGUUCUGAAUCACUUACCAGUACAGGUCCAAAAUGGGAACAAAGGCCUCCCAGCCUCCAUCCUGCACAUGAACUACUGUUUGCAUUUCCAUGUCCUGCUCUCCUGAAGGGCAUCUGCAUAACUUCACCCAGCUCCCAAGGAGAGACCACAAAGCAACAACAACAAAAUAAAGACCACACCUUUU